GAUUGAGAGAGGUCGACCCAUUCUUGAGAGUCGGCGACCCGAUCACGUGACCCGACCGGAGUGACGCCUUCCGGCCACCCCACGACGGCGCGCGGCCACCAGAAGCUUCAUCUCGGUUUCGCCUACCUUCCUACAUCCUCAGAUCGUCCAUGCACCGACGGUGAACGGAGCAACAACGGCAGGAAGCCCCGAGCUUUCUCCGGCCACCUCUGCAACUUCCGGCGACCGAUUAAGCUUCAUUUGCCACGGCUUCACCGUGUUCUUCGAUACCGGUGACGUUUCGGGCACUUCUGGGCUUAGUUUCCAUCUCGAGUUCACCUGUAGACGAGGAAUUAAGAGGAUUGCUGGGUUGUUGGCAUCAAAAUCUUCAACUCACCAACAUUCCAGUUCCGGCAAGAGGUCCUGUAAACCCGAGCUUGAUCAACUUAGAGUUUCGAAGGUAUAAUUUCAAACCUUGAAUUAGAAGGCUGUUCUUGUGACGAAUACGAACUUGUGGGCUGAAGGGUUCUUGAAUUAUUUCCGUCUUGGUAUUUUGGUUAACUGUUGCCGGUUGGUUUUGGUUGAAUUGUGUAGUUUUGGUGGUUUGACAAUAUGUUGGAACUGGGAGGACAGAUUGGAUGAGUUGUGGUGUUUUGAAUUGAAUGAAUUGUUGUACUGUGGUUGAGAUUGAGAUAUCCUGGUUAUAAGUUUUGAAUGCAUAGGCAGAAUGGGUUGUCGUGUAUUUGAUUUGAAUGGACUUUGAUGAUCAA